AUGCCACAGCAACGUCAGCCCCAAGUAUUGGCUGAGGUGGAGUCAACUUUAGCAGCAGUGAUGCAGCAUCAUAAUGCACAAUACUGCGCCCUACAGAACCUCGCAGCGCAGAUGAAGGCACUCCCUAAAGUUGUGGGCUGUGAGCUGCCACCUACUCGGGAUUUGCUGGUUAUAGACGGACAUGGAUCUACUCUGCAGCUUGCAUUAUUACACGCCAAGUGUGUGUUUCACUGUUUGAUAAAGGGAAGGGAACAAACUCAAUACUUGGUGGAGAAAACGUUGGCUGCAAUACAUCUGAAUCUGAACUGUGAUAAAGAAAAAUAACGUGACAGCGGAUGAAGUUUGUUCCCGAGAACAGGAAAAAAAAAACAGUUGUGAUUCUGAUGUUGGUAAUAACAUGAGAUGUAUUCAUUAGGUAAUACUACAGAAAAUGUCUUAUUACCAAUAUGUUUCUUCAUAGUGUGAAUUUGAGGUUUGACUUGGAGUUUUGACAUGCUGCAUUUUUCACGCAGUCACUUUGGUUUUGACAUUAAUUUUGUCGAUUUGAUUCUGCUUCAAACAAAAGCUCUAAGAUUUGACCAAGAAUGGGUUUAGGUUUAUUGAAGACAUUUACACAGACACGUCUACUGAAGAAGAGGCAUAACUGUACUGUGGCUAAAUGUACAAUAGUACCAGUAGUUCCACUCCUCUAUUGUAGCUUUGACUUGUCUGUAGUUACAUUUCAAGUUUUCAUACAACAUUUGUUCUUCUUUAAAUGUUCUUUGUUUUUCUGGAAGUCCUGAUGAGAUUUGUACAAGCAGACUUGAAGCUACAGUACAACGUCUUAAUUUACGGAAGCCAACUGUGCGGCUCUUCUACUACUUUGUUAUUGAGUGUGCUCGCUUUCUCCGUCACCUCCCGGUUUAAUUCCAUUAGCCUGCAAAGAAAGAAAUCUGUCGGGACCCCUCACAUCCUAAGUCCCAUGUUCCAGUGGCUCCCAUCAGGACACAGACUCCCUGAUGCAGGACCCAAAUAGGAGAAAUCCUGUAAUCCCAGCAGUAGUUAUCCAUCAGAAUGCUGUCCUGUACAAUGACGCUUUUAAUUGAUCUUAUUAGUAAUAUUAAUUUUCCUGGAUGCUUGCUUUACCUUAAUGGCCUUCAGGGAUAAAUAAUAGAGAUAAAGUGUUUUGAAUUGAAUUGAUCAAUACAUUAUAAAUACCUGAAAUACUUAUGUACAUAUUAUUCAAAGAAAUAAAUUAAAAACAAAUCUAUGUUGUGAAGUUCA
rnacentral:lncRNA from 1 species